rnacentral:rRNA from 1 species
AGCGAACGCUGGCGGCAGGCCUAACACAUGCAAGUCGAACGAACCUUUCGGGGUUAGUGGCGGACGGGUGAGUAACACGUGGGAACGUGCCUUUAGGUUCGGAAUAACUCAGGGAAACUUGUGCUAAUACCGAAUGUGGCCUUCGGGGGAAAGAUUAAUCGCCUUUAGAGCGGCCCGCGUCUGAUUAGCUAGUUGGUUGAGGUAAUGGCUCACCAAGGCGACGAUCAGUAGCUGGUCUGAGAGGAUGAUCAGCCACAUUGGGACUGAGACACGGCCCAAACUCCUACGGGAGGCAGCAGUGGGGAAUCUUGCGCAAUGGGCGAAAGCCUGACGCAGCCAUGCCGCGUGAAUGAUGAAGGUCUUAGGAUUGUAAAAUUCUUUCACCGGGGACGAUAAUGACGGUACCCGGAGAAGAAGCCCCGGCUAACUUCGUG